AACGAACGCUGGCGGCAUGCCUAACACAUGCAAGUCGAACGAGACCUUCGGGUCUAGUGGCGCACGGGUUCGUAAAGCGUGGGAACCUGCCCUUAGGUUCGGAAUAACUCCCCGAAAGGGGUGCUAAUACCGGAUAAUGUCAUCGGACCAAAGAUUUAUCGCCUUUGGAUGGGCCCGCGUUGGAUUAGCUAGUUGGUAGGGUAAAAGCCAACCAAGGCGACGAGCCAUAGCUGGUUUGAGAGGAUGAUCAGCCACACUGGGACUGAGACACGGCCCAGACUCCUACGGGAGGCAGCAGUGGGUAAUAUUGGACAAUGGGCGAAAGCCUGAUCCAGCAAUGCCGCGUGAGUGAUGAAGGCCUUAGGGUUGUAAAGCUCUUUUACCCGGGAUGAUAAUGACAGUACCGGGAGAAUAAGCUCCGGCUAACUCCGUG
rnacentral:rRNA from 1 species